AAUAAGCGGAGGAAAAGAAACCAACAGGGAUUGCCCUAGUAACGGCGAGUGAAGCGGCAACAGCUCAAAUUUGAAAUCUGGCCCUCGCGGUCCGAGUUGUAAUUUGUAGAGGAUGCUUUGGGCGCGGCGCCUUCCGAGUUCCCUGGAACGGGACGCCAGAGAGGGUGAGAGCCCCGUACGGUUGGACGCCUAGCCUAUGUAUAGCUCCUUCGACGAGUCGAGUAGUUUGGGAAUGCUGCUCUAAAUGGGAGGUAAAUUUCUUCUAAAGCUAAAUACCGGCCAGAGACCGAUAGCGCACAAGUAGAGUGAUCGAAAGAUGAAAAGCACUUUGAAAAGAGGGUUAAAUAGCACGUGAAAUUGUUGAAAGGGAAGCGUUUGCGACCAGACCUUCUCCGGGGGGAUCAUCCGGUGUUCUCACCGGUGCACUCCCCUCGGUCUAGGCCAGCAUCGGUUUCCUUAGGGGGAUAAAGGCUUGGGGAACGUAGCUCCUUCGGGAGUGUUAUAGCCCCUCGCGUAAUACCCCUCGGGGGACCGAGGACCGCGCUUCGGCAAGGAUGCUGGCGUAAUGGUCGUCAACGACC
rnacentral:rRNA from 2 species